CACGUGAAGAUUUUAAUUCGUUGCAUUAUAAGUUGGCUUGGAAGUUUGUUUUUUAAUUUAUUAGUGACAAAAUACGCCGGUUUUGACAAUGUCAAAGCGUAGUGAUAAAAUAAUGGCACUUGAAACACACAAUGAAGGCACAAUCUAAACCAAUACAUCGGUUAUUUUUUAUGUGUAAUAAAGAAAAUGUUGUUCCAAAUAAUUUUUUUGUCUACAUUGGUUUCUUGUGAUAAUAAAUAUGGGGACGAGAUAUUAGGACCACAGGAACAAGAUAUUUUGCAGGACUUUCAGGAGACAGGAGAAAAUCCACGAUGUGAUCAGAUUAUUAGUGAUGGAAAUGAGGUUCCUGUUCGUCUGCUUGCAAUUCCAGAGAAACAAGAUGUUCUUCAAAAACUAGCAGAAUCCCACUAGAUGAUUACAAUAUUAUUAGUAAUGAAAAUGAUGUUCCUGUUGGUGUGACUGCAUUUCCAGACCCCUCUGAUCAAGAUGUGCUUCAAGAACUAGCAGAAAUCCCACUAGAUGAUGAUGUUAUGCAGUGCAUUGUAAACACACAUUCAAAUAUAACUGUACUGGCUACGGGAAGUGAUUUUCCCGAUACCAUCAUAAUAGAACAACAGAUAGAUGCUGAAAAUAUUACCACUGAACAAAUAGACCAUUUUAACCAAAAUACAGAUGCAGGUCCAUUGAAAAAACCUACAGAUAUCAAUCUACAUAACUAUGAACAAAAAAAUAAUGCAAUGCAAGUAAAGAAUGUUUUAACAGAGAGAGAAGUAGGCCACUAUCACAUUGAAGGCGAUUCGGUAAAUCUCUUCACGCAUGGAAGCAACCUAGAAAAUCAACUUGAAGUUCAGUUGAGUGCUGAUCAGGGUGGAAUCGUAGUUUCAGCAGACAACCUUGGAGAAGGGAAUGCAAACGAGUUGAGUGAUCCUAAAAUCCCAGUUUUGACAGAAAAUGUCGUAGAAGAAGACCAUGCAUUGCAACCGGCUAACUUACAUAUAUACUAAAGAGGGAAACUUGAGAAAGAGAAAAAAAUAUGACCUGACCUUGGAAACACGUAAACGUCUACAAUUAAACCAGAUAAGAGCAGAACAUAUACCGUUGCCGUCGUGCGAUCGUGAUAAAUGCAGAAAAAAAUGCAAUAUUAAAAUCUCCGAAGUUCUGAAAUCAAUCAGCAGUUUUGGAAUUUGUCUUGGUUAGAACAGCGAACAUUUAUUUUUAAUACCUGCAAACGCUUGGCAGUGAAAAGGCGACCCAAGUCGCAGAAAGUGAGAAAAAACAAAAUACUUUUUCAUUAUUUCCCCGACGAAAAAUUAUUAACUGAGGCAGUUACUCAUGAAGCCUGUAAGGUAUUUUUCCUUACCACAUUAGGUUAUAAGAAAACUAAUGAUCGGGUGAUAACAGAAGUUUCAUCAAAAACAGAAAAAGGAAAUUUUCAACCAAAUCGAGACC